GCCAGUGUGGCAUAGUGGUUUGAGCGUUGGACUACUACUCUGGAGACCAGGAUUCGGUUCCCAGCUUGGCCA